rnacentral:rRNA from 1 species
UACGGAGGGGGCUAGCGUUGUUCGGAAUCACUGGGCGUAAAGGGUGCGUAGGCGGGUCUUUAAGUCAGGGGGGAAAUCCUGGAGCUCAACUCCAGAACUGCCUUUGAUACUGAAGAUCUUGAGUUCGGGAGAGGUGAGUGGAACUGCGAGUGUAGAGGUGAAAUUCGUAGAUAUUCGCAAGAACACCAGUGGCGAAGGCGGCUCACUGGCCCGAUACUGACGCUGAGGCACGAAAGCGUGGGGAGCAAACGGG